rnacentral:rRNA from 1 species
AUUGAACGCUGGCGGCAGGCCUAACACAUGCAAGUCGAGCGGAUGAGAAGAGCUUGCUCUUCGAUUCAGCGGCGGACGGGUGAGUAAUGCCUAGGAAUCUGCCUGGUAGUGGGGGACAACGUUUCGAAAGGAACGCUAAUACCGCAUACGCCCUACGGGAGAAAGCAGGGGACCUUCGGGCCUUGCGCUAUCAGAUGAGCCUAGGUCGGAUUAGCUAGUUGGUGAGGUAAUGGCUCACCAAGGCGACGAUCCGUAACUGGUCUGAGAGGAUGAUCAGUCAAACUGGAACUGGGACACGGUCCAGACUCCUACGGGAGGCAGCAGUGGGGAAUAUUGGACAAUGGGCGAAAGCCUGAUCCAGCCAUGCCGCGUGUGUGAAGAAGGUCUUCGGAUUGUAAAGCACUUUAAGUUGGGAGGAAGGGCAGUAAGUUAAUACCUUGCUGUUUUGACGUUACCGACAGAAUAAGCACCGGCUAACUUCGUGCCAGCCGCCGCCGUAAUAC